CGCUGGUUCUUCUUCGCACGAGCCUCAUUCUCUUCGUUUCCCGUUACCGGUCACGCAGAGGCGGGAGAUAUGGGAAGUGGGAUAAAUGUGAAGGGCGUGGUCUCCGCCAAGAGCUGUUGCCAUCCUCAUCGAUGCUUCUUCCAGCGUCGGCCCUCUCCGCCACCUCCUCCUCUCCUCUUCUUUCUCCCCGCUUCCAAAUUCCAGGCCCCGAUCCCCAGCUUGCGGAUGUCUAACUCGCAAAGAGCAAUCAGACAUGUCAUCUGUUUGAGUGGAACAAACUCUGCAGACAAUUAUGCGCCGGACGAUAGCACAUCUUCAUCUAAGGAAGCAGCUUUUGAUAUAGCACUUCCCAGGAGAAGUUUGAUGGUGCAGUUCACAUGUGAUGCCUGUGGUGAAAGAACUCGGCGUCUUAUCAACAGAUUAGCCUAUGAGCGUGGGACUGUUUUCGUACAGUGUGCAGGGUGUCUUGUGUAUCACAAAUUUGUUGACAACCUUGGUCUUGUGGUUGAGUAUGAUCUUCGGGAGGAGCUACAUGGAGAUUCUGAUGGUAUUGCAGAGGCUGGGACUUCUAAUUCCGAAAGCUGAAAUAUGUCAUGGAUAUCUAGUGCCUGCCCAAUCUACCGUUCCUAGAAGCUUCAUGGUCCAAAACUCAGCAUGGGCAAGGGCUAGGCAACAGAAGGGAAGCCAUCUCCUUGACCUAAAAAAAAAUCAAGUCAGUCUUUUGUUCUGCUCUUCAAACCCUACAGCUUUUCAACUUAACACAAAUCAAGGUAUUCAUCUCUUUCUCCGCUGUUAUUGCUCCCCAUGUCGGGCACCCGUCUUAAGGUUGACGUUCCCUCUCUCGUGGCAAGGGAGCGGACGAAGACGAAUGACGGUGUUGGUGCGGCUGUGCGGAUCUGGUUCCUUUGGCACCGCACCAAGGUCCAGGGUCUCAAGGUGCGGUCAGUCACGGUAUUUCACCACCGAUGUGGGCCCUCGCCAUCUAUGUAGCUUUUGCCGGGCUGUUUUCUUUCCAUUUUAAUUUUUUUUUCUCGCUAAAAUCUUGAUUCCUUUUCUUAUGUAUGAACAAUU